AGUGAACGCUGGCGGUAUGCCUAACACAUGCAAGUCGAACGACAGCACCGUAAGAGCUUGCUCUUACGUGUGUCGAGUGGCGGACGGGUGAGGAAUACAUCGGAAUCUACUUUUUCGUGGGUGAUAACGUAGGGAAACUUACGCUAAUACCGCAUACGACCUACGUGUGAAAGCAGGGGUUCUUUGGACCUGUCGCGAGUGAAUGAGCCGAUGUCGGAUUAGCUAGUUGGCGGGGUAAAGGCCCACCAAGGCGACGAUCCGUAUCUGGUCUGACAGCAUGAUCAGCCACACUGGAACUGAGACACGGUACAGACUCCUACGGGAGGCAGCAGUGGGGAAUAUUGGGCAAUGGGCGCAAGCCUGAUCCAGCCAUACCGCGUGAGUGAAGAAGGACUUCGGGUUGUAAAGCCCUGUUGUUGGGAAAGAAAAGCAGCAGGUUAAUACCCCGCUGUUCUGACGGUACCCAAAGAAUAAGCACCGGCUAACUUCGUG
rnacentral:rRNA from 1 species